UGUAUAUUUGUAACAGUGGCAGCUUGUGUAUAAGCACUGCAGAACUGCAGCACCCCUAUUUCCAUUCGAUAUUAUCGAUAACAUUCAAUAUAAGUCUUUUUUCAUUAUAUAAUCCUUAAGGUUAAUGUCAGUAGCCAUUCCCUAGAUUAUGGAAAAAAAAUACAAAAAUCCUUGUAUAGAACUGUGCGCUUCACAGUUUCAGCGACGUGGUGUUUGGCUGUUGUUCGCAUGCUCACAUGUCCGAGAUAGGAAGCUUCACGCUAGGGAGAGAGAAAACUGUGUGAACUACAGUGCUGAUCCUGGUGUGCUGAGAAAGCAUGGGUGAGAUGGUACCACAAGAGCUGGCCAGGCUGAAGCUUGCACCAGACUUCUGUGACUGUUUUGUCAGGAUUUUUACAGCUGGAUGCCCUUCCUAACACCAACCACUCAGCAGAGUGGUCUUAGUGCUUUUUUACGUGGUGCAAGAACAGGUGAGAUGUAAAGUGACUGAACUGAACAAGAACUGUUCCUCCCUCACAGCUUCAAUAAAUACCUUAAUCUACCCUCUACAAUAAGUCUCCACAACAUUAAAAACUUCCUAUACCAAUUCUUCUUGAACAUAUUUAUUUCUGAUCCAAAAUUCCAAGCUUCCUACACUGAACCAUGUUUAUUGUCACAAACAGAUUCAAAUGACUUAGUGAUUUUAAUUCAUUUAAGCUGGACUUUAGGUUCAAUAUUAAAGGGAUUUAAGAUUAAACUAAGCCUGAAAGCAAAAAUCUGAUUCCACACUUAAAUUUGGUAUGCAAAAGUAUGCAUAGAACAUCCAUCAAAACACUUGUGAUAAAAUUUGUGUUGCCCAAAGAAUUGUUGUUUGUUUUUGUGCUGUUGAUAGAAACUAGAUUGACCCAUUGUCUGAAAUACAUUUUGCAGACAAUGAUACAAACACACUUCCU